CAAUUUCAUCACUGAUUCGCGCUACUCCUUCAAUUUCAUGCACCCUUCAUCACUACUUCGCGCUACUCCUUCAAUUUCACGCACAUCUUCAUCACUGCUUCGCGCUACUCCUUCAAUUUGACGCACAUCUUCAUCACUGCUUCAUGCUUCUCCUCGUGUCAUCAGUGCAUUAGGGCUCCUUCGGCAGUUCUCCUUGAAUUUCACAUUUACGUCUUUGCUCGCUCCUUCGUUUCUCUGCCAUUUUGUUCAAUUUGUGUGGCAUUGCCUUAGGGCUCCUUCGUUUCAGGGCUUCCAUUUUCAGGUGUUGAUCGCGCCAUUGGUGUACUGGGUGUAGGAUCUGUGUUCGUGCACUGGGUUUAGGAACCCAUUCUCACUCGCUUCGUUGCUAGGGCAAACCUUGAGGGAGAACGACACUCCUCUGGCGCAACACACAAAACGAGAGUUCCAGCAUGCUUGAAGCGUAUCUGCGUCCACAAACAACAUAUGAAAUAAGAUCGUUCAAGUGCUGCUGCAAAACCCAACCUCACUAGACGUUUAGCGUGCCAACGGUGAUCACCGGAGAAGGCAGCCCCUCCAUGCGUGCAACAACACCUUCUAUGCAGAUUUCCAAUUAGAGAUUUAUGUUAAGAGAAAUAAUUUUCACACUUAAGCAUUAGGUCUUCACAUACAUUAUUUUGAAUAUCUUAAUUUGGAGGUAUGUGAUUGGAGAAAUAAUUUUUGUUGUUUGAACUAGUGUCACCUUCCUGUUUCGAGUUACUUCAAUAACAAUUUGA